GAUGAACGCUAGCGGGAGGCUUAGUACAUGCAAGUCGAACGGUAAGGCCCCUUCGGGGGUACACGAGUGGCGAACGGGUGAGUAACGCGUACGCAAUCUGCCCCUAACUGAGGAAUAGCCCCGAGAAAUUGGGAUUAAAACCUCAUAAUAUUUCGAAAAGGCAUCUUUUUGAAAUUAAAACUCCGGUGGUUAGGGAUGAGCGUGCGUCCCAUUAGUUUGUUGGUGAGGUAACGGCUCACCAAGACCGCGAUGGGUAGCUGGCGUGAGAGCGCGAUCAGCCACACGGGCACUGAGACACGGGCCCG
rnacentral:rRNA from 1 species